rnacentral:rRNA from 1 species
GGAUUAGAUACCCUGGUAGUCCACGCCGUAAACGAUGUCUACUAGUCGUUGGGAGGCUUGUCCUCUUGGUGGCGCAGUUAACGCGUUAAGUAGACCGCCUGGGGAGUACGGCCGCAAGGCUAAAACUCAAAGGAAUUGACGGGGGCCCGCACAAGCGGUGGAGCAUGUGGUUUAAUUCGAUGCAACGCGAAGAACCUUACCUGCCCUUGACAUCCUCGGAAGGGACCGGAAACGGACCUGUGCCUUCGGGAACCGAGAGACAGGUGCUGCAUGGCUGUCGUCAGCUCGUGCCG